GUGAAAGUAAAAUCAACUGAAUACUGCGUAUGGAACAGAAAAAACAGCCACAUGCAUUUCAACUAAUGGAUUUUAAGCUUUUCAAAUGGAUUUAUUGGAAGUUAUGUCUACAAAAACAAAUUAUCUAUUUGAUUUAUUUUUGACAAGAUCAUCUGGAGUGCGUCUACAUUACCAUGAACACUGCAAGACUGACAAGCAUCGAGAGCAUACUGUAAAAGACAUGGAGACAUUCAGAGACAUGGAGACAUUCAGAGACAUGGAGACAUUCUGAGACAUGGAGACAUUCAGAGACAUGGAGACAUUCAGAGACAUGGAGACAUUCAGAGACAUGGAGACAUUCUGGCUUUGUGUCAGCUGAUUGACAAUCCUCCCCUGCAUACAACAGAAAACACUUUGAGGAAACAAAAAUAAUUCACACAUUGUUGCAUCGGUUUUGGUUUGUGGGUGCCUUGUAUUUUUGGAAUCAUUGCAAAAUCACCGACCUCAACUGCAUGUUUGUCAUUGUGAAUGUAAACAUGUGAAAACAAGUUAUUAACAGUAAAUGGUAUUAAACUGGAUUUUAAUUCAACCCCGAGCACACAAUUCAAUCAAAAUAACCCAGGAAAUAUUGGAAAAAUACAACUUUUUUUUCAUCA